rnacentral:rRNA from 1 species
UACGGAGGGGGCUAGCGUUGUUCGGAAUUACUGGGCGUAAAGCGUGCGUAGGCGGAUUAAUAAGUUAGAUGUGAAAUCCCAGGGCUCAACCCUGGAACUGCAUUUAAAACUGUUAGUCUUGAGUUCUGGAGAGGUAAGUGGAAUUGCUAGUGUAGAGGUGAAAUUCGUAGAUAUUAGCAGGAACACCAGAGGCGAAGGCGGCUUACUGGACAGAUACUGACGCUGAGGCACGAAAGUGUGGGGAGCAAACAGG